rnacentral:rRNA from 1 species
GACGAACCGAGCGAACGUUGUUCGGAAUCACUGGGCUUAAAGGGCGCGUAGGCGGGCUGUCAAGUCUGGGGUGAAAUCCCGGCGGCUCAACCGGUGGGAACUGGCCUCAGAUACUGACGGCCUCGAGGGAGGUGAGGGGCGAGCGGAACUCUCAGUGGAGCGGUGAAAUGCGUUGAUAUUGGGGAGGAACUCCGGUGGCGAAAGGCGGCUCGCUGGGCCUCUUCGUGACGCUGAUGGCGCGAAAAGCUGAGGGGAGCAAACACGGGG